rnacentral:rRNA from 1 species
GACGAACGCUGGCGGCGUGCCUAAUACAUGCAAGUCGAGCGAAGUUUUUCUGGUGCUUGCACUAGAAAAACUUAGCGGCGAACGGGUGAGUAACACGUAAAGAACCUGCCUCAUAGACUGGGACAACUAUUGGAAACGAUAGCUAAUACCGGAUAACAGUAUUUCUCGCAUGAGAGAUAUUUAAAAGUUGGUUAUGCUAACACUAUGAGAUGGCUUUGCGGUGCAUUAGCUAGUUGGUGGGGUAAAGGCCCACCAAGGCGACGAUGCAUAGCCGACCUGAGAGGGUGAUCGGCCACACUGGAACUAAGACACGGCCCAGACUCCUACGGGAGGCAGCAGUAGGGAAUCUUACGCAAUGGGCGAAAGCCUGACGGAGCAACGCCGCGUGAGUGAAGAAGGAUUUCGGUUCGUAAAGCUCUGUUGUUAGGGAAGAAUGGAUAUGUAGUAACUAUACAUGUAAGAGACGGUACCUAACCAGAAAGCCACGGCUAACUACGUG